rnacentral:rRNA from 1 species
ACGUAGGGUCCAAGCGUUAUCCGGAUUUAUUGGGCGUAAAGAGUUGCGUAGGCGGCAGAGUAAGCAGAUAGUGAAAGCGUGUGGCUCAACCAUACUCACAUUAUCUGAACUGCUCAGCUAGAGAGCGGAAGAGGUAGCUGGAAUUAUUAGUGGAGGAGUAAUAUCCGUAGAUAUUAGUAAGAACACCAAUGGCGAAGGCAGGCUACUGGUCCGUUUCCGACGCUCAGGCACGAAAGCGUAGGUAGCAAACAGGA